GGACUACAGGGGUUUCUAAUCCUGUUUGCUCCCCACGCUUUCGCGCCUCAGCGUCAGUAUCGGUCCAGAGAGCCGCCUUCGCCACCGGUGUUCUUCCCAAUAUCUACGAAUUUCACCUCUACACUGGGAAUUCCACUCUCCUCUCCCGAACUCAAGCCGUUCAGUCUCAAGCGCAGUUCCCAGGUUGAGCCCGGGGCUUUCACGCCUGACUUGAAUGGCCGCCUGCGCGCCCUUUACGCCCAGUAAUUCCGAACAACGCUAGCCCCCUUCGUAUUACCGCGGCUGCUGGCAC
rnacentral:rRNA from 1 species